AGACGAGUCUUUUUGCUCGGUAGACGAGUGUUUUUGCAAGUUUGCGCAAAAAAUAUAACAGAAAAAGCAUAUAUAUGAUUAAGCUGUUCUUGUUAGAUUAUAAUAGAUAACACUUAUCUUAAUUGUUUGGACAUAGAGAUGAUGAUAUCUACGGCAUGGACGAUCUGAAUCUCUGAGAUUGUAAACGUCGUUGUAUGAAAAUCUACAUUUAAGAUGUUGUUCGUUAGAGGAGAUCUCAUCUUUGCGU
rnacentral:sRNA from 1 species